rfam:Mycobacterium kyorinense strain E861 contig_184, whole genome shotgun sequence.
CAGGUUCCGGUUCACGUCCCAUCGCCGAUGUGAUGCGGGCGACCCGGCGGCC